rnacentral:ncRNA from 1 species
UGACCUCAAAUCAGGUAGGACUACCCGCUGAACUUAAGCAUAUCAAUAAGCGGAGGAAAAGAAACUAACAAGGAUUCCCCUAGUAACUGCGAGUGAAGCGGGAAAAGCUCAAAUUUAAAAUCUGGCAGUCUUUGGCUGUCCGAGUUGUAAUCUAGAGAAGUAUUAUCCGCGCUGGACCGUGUACAAGUCUCCUGGAAUGGAGCGUCAUAGAGGGUGAGAAUCCCGUCUUUGACACGGACUGCCAGGGCUUUGUGAUAUGCUCUCGAAGAGUCGAGUUGUUUGGGAAUGCAGCUCAAAAUGGGUGGUAAAUUCCAUCUAAAGCUAAAUAUUGGCGAGAGACCGAUAGCGAACAAGUACCGUGAGGGAAAGAUGAAAAGAACUUUGGAAAGAGAGUUAAACAGUACGUGAAAUUGCUGAAAGGGAAACGCUUGAAGUCAGUCGCGUUGGCCAGGGAUCAACCUUGCUUUUUUGCUUGGCUUACUUUCUGGUUGAUGGGUCAGCAUCAAUUUUGACUGGUGGAAAAAGUUCAAAGGAAUGUGGCAUCUUCGGAUGUGUUAUAGCCUUUGUUCACAUACAUUGGUUGGGAUUGAGGAACUCAGCACGCCGCAAGGCCGGG